rnacentral:rRNA from 1 species
GGUCAAGGAUGGACUCGCGGCCUAUCAGCUAGUUGGUGAGGUAAUGGCUCACCAAGGCGACGACGGGUAGCCGGCCUGAGAGGGUGACCGGCCACACUGGGACUGAGACACGGCCCAGACUCCUACGGGAGGCAGCAGUGGGGAAUAUUGCACAAUGGGCGCAAGCCUGAUGCAGCAACGCCGCGUGAGGGACGACGGCCUUCGGGUUGUAAACCUCUUUUAGUAGGGAAGAAGCGAAAGUGACGGUACCUGCAGAAAAAGCACCGGCUAACUACGUGCCAGCAGCCGCGGUAAUACGUAGGGUGCAAGCGUUGUCCGGAAUUAUUGGGCGUAAAGAGCUCGUAGGCGGUUUGUCGCGUCUGCUGUGAAAUCUGGGGGCUCAACCCCCAGCCUGCAGUGGGUACGGGCAGACUAGAGUGCGGUAGGGGAGAUUGGAAUUCCUGGUGUAGCGGUGGAAUGCGCAGAUAUCAGGAGGAACACCGAUGGCGAAGGCAGAUCUCUGGGCCGUAACUGACGCUGAGGAGCGAAAGCAUGGGGAGCGAACAGGAUUAGAUACCCUGGUAGUCCAUGCCGUAAACGUUGGGAACUAGAUGUGGGGACCAUUCCACGGUCUCCGUGUCGCAGCUAACGCAUUAAGUUCCCCGCCUGGGGAGUACGGCCGCAAGGCUAAAACUCAAAGGAAUUGACGGGGGCCCGCACAAGCGGCGGAGCAUGCGGAUUAAUUCGAUGCAACGCGAAGAACCUUACCAAGGCUUGACAUAUACCGGAAAGGGCCAGAGAUGGUCGCCCCGCAAGGUCGGUAUACAGGUGGUGCAUGGUUGUCGUCAGCUCGUGUCGUGAGAUGUUGGGUUAAGUCCCGCAACGAGCGCAACCCUCGUUCUAUGUUGCCAGCACGUUAUGGUGGGAACUCAUAGGAGACUGCCGGGGUCAACUCGGAGGAAGGUGGGGAUGACGUCAAAUCAUCAUGCCCCUUAUGUCUUGGGCUUCACGCAUGCUACAAUGGCCGGUACAAAGGGCUGCGAUACCGUAAGGUGGAGCGAAUCCCAAAAAGCCGGUCUCAGUUCGGAUUGAGGUCUGCAACUCGACCUCAUGAAGUCGGAGUCGCUAGUAAUCGCAGAUCAGCAACGCUGCGGUGAAUACGUUCCCGGGCCUUGUACACACCGCCCGUCAAGUCAUGAAAGUCGGUAACACCCGAAGCCAGUGGCCUAACCCCUUGUGGGAUGGAGCUGUCGAAGGUGGGAUCGGUGAUUAGGACUAAGUCGUAACAAGGUAGCCGUACCGGAAGGUGCGGCUGGAUCACCUCCUUU